GUGGGGAAUUUUGGACAAUGGGGGCAACCCUGAUCCAGCCAUGCCGCGUGCGGGAAGAAGGCCUUCGGGUUGUAAACCGCUUUUGUCAGGGAAGAAAUCCUUUGGGUUAAUACCUCGGAGGGAUGACGGUACCUGAAGAAUAAGCACCGGCUAACUACGUGCCAGCAGCCGCGGUAAUACGUAGGGUGCGAGCGUUAAUCGGAAUUACUGGGCGUAAAGCGUGCGCAGGCGGUUUUGUAAGAUCGAUGUGAAAUCCCCGGGCUCAACCUGGGAACUGCAUUGGUGACUGCAAGGCUGGAGUGCGGCAGAGGGGGAUGGAAUUCCGCGUGUAGCAGUGAAAUGCGUAGAUAUGCGGAGGAACACCGAUGGCGAAGGCAAUCCCCUGGGCCUGCACUGACGCUCAUGCACGAAAGCGUGGGGAGCAAACAGGAUUAGAUACCCGUGUAGUCC
rnacentral:rRNA from 1 species